GACGAACGCUGGCGGCGUGCUUAACACAUGCAAGUCGAACGGAAAGGCCCUGCUUUUGUGGGGUGCUCGAGUGGCGAACGGGUGAGUAACACGUGAGUAACCUGCCCUUGACUUUGGGAUAACUUCAGGAAACUGGGGCUAAUACCGGAUAGGAGCUCCUGCUGCAUGGUGGGGGUUGGAAAGUUUCGGCGGUUGGGGAUGGACUCGCGGCUUAUCAGCUUGUUGGUGGGGUAGUGGCUUACCAAGGCUUUGACGGGUAGCCGGCCUGAGAGGGUGACCGGCACAAUUGGGACUGAGAUCCGCCCCGGCCUCCUACGGGAGGAAGCAGUGGGAAAUAUGCAACAAUGGGCGGAGGCCUGAGCAAGAAACGCGGGGUGGGGAAGACCGGCUUCGGGGUGGUAAACGGUUUCGGCUGGGGCCGAAGCGUGAGUGCCGGAAAUGGGUAAAGAAGACCCGGUAAAUUACGUG
rnacentral:rRNA from 1 species